rnacentral:rRNA from 1 species
UACAGAGGUCUCAAGCGUUGUUCGGAUUCAUUGGGCGUAAAGGGUGCGCAGGCGGCCGUGUGUGUGAGGCGUGAAAGCCCGAUGCUUAACAUCGGAAUUGCACCUCAAACUACACGGCUAGAGCAUUGGAGAGGGUAGCGGAAUUCACGGUGUAGCAGUGAAAUGCGUAGAUAUCGUGAGGAACACCAGAGGCGAAGGCGGCUACCUGGACAAUUGCUGACGCUCAGGCACGAAAGCGUGGGGAGCAAAAGGG